rnacentral:rRNA from 1 species
UACGUAGGGUGCGAGCGUUAAUCGGAAUUACUGGGCGUAAAGCGUGCGCAGGCGGUUCGUUGUGUCGGUGGUGAAAUCCCCGGGCUUAACCUGGGAAUGGCCAUGGAAACUGGCGAACUGGAGUGUGGCAGAGGGGGUGGAAUUCCGCGUGUAGCAGUGAAAUGCGUAGAUAUCAGGAGGAACACCGAUGGCGAAGGCAGGUCUCUGGGCUGACACUGACGCUCAGGCACGAAAGCGUGGGGAGCAAACAGG